CCUACGGGGUGCAGCAGUGAGGAAUAUUGGUCAAUGGGCGGGAGCCUGAACCAGCCAAGCCGCGUGAAGGAAGAAGGUACUCAGUACUGAAAACUUCUUUUGUCGGGGAACAAAGGCGGAGACGCGUCUCCGGAUGUGGGUACCCGAACAAAAAGCAUCGGCUAACUCCGUGCCGGCCGCCGCGGUAAUACGGAGGAUGCGAGCGUUAUCCGGAUUUAUAGGGUUAAAAGGGUGCGAGGGCGGGAGAGAAAGACAGCGGUAAAAUGUCGGGGCUCAACUCCGGCCGGCCGUUGAAACUGGUUUUCUAGAGUUGGGGAGAAGUAUGCGGAAUUCGUGGGGUAGCGGUGAAAUGCGUAGAUAUCACGAAGAACACCGAUGGCGAAGGCGGCAUACCGGC
rnacentral:rRNA from 1 species